rnacentral:rRNA from 1 species
AGAGUUUGAUCAUGGCUCAGGACGAACGCUGGCGGCGUGCUUAACACAUGCAAGUCGAACGCACGGCCUUGGGGUUUUCCUUGGGGUUGGUGAGUGGCGAACGGGUGAGUAACACGUGAGUAACCUGCCCCCUUCUUUGGGAUAACGGUCGGAAACGGCUGCUAAUACUGGAUAUUCACACAUUGUCGCAUGGUGGUGUGUGGAAAGCUUUUGUGGUGGGGGAUGGGCUCGCGGCCUAUCAGCUUGUUGGUGGGGUGAUGGCUUACCAAGGCUUUGACGGGUAACCGGCCUGAGAGGGUGACCGGUCACAUUGGGACUGAGAUACGGCCCAGACUCCUACGGGAGGCAGCAGUGGGGAAUUUUGCACAAUGGACGCAAGUCUGAUGCAGCGACGCCGCGUGAGGGAUGGAGGCCUUCGGGUUGUGAACCUCUUUCGCUCAUGGUCAAGCCGCACGUGUGCGUGUGGUGAGGGUAGUGGGUAAAGAAGCGCCGGCUAACUACGUGCCAGCAGCCGCGGUAAUACGUAGGGCGCGAGCGUUGUCCGGAAUUAUUGGGCGUAAAGGGCUUGUAGGCGGUUGGUUGCGUCUGCCGUGAAAUCCUCUGGCUUAACUGGGGGCGUGCGGUGGGUACGGGCUGGCUUGAGUGCGGUAGGGGAGACUGGAAUUCCUGGUGUAGCGGUGGAAUGCGCAGAUAUCAGGAGGAACACCGGUGGCGAAGGCGGGUCUCUGGGCCGUUACUGACGCUGAGGAGCGAAAGCGUGGGGAGCGAACAGGAUUAGAUACCCUGGUAGUCC